CACAACUCCACAACAAAGAUAGGUUUCUCAUUUCCAAGAAAUAGGAUUCUAGGAAUGGUCAUGAGAUGGCCACAUAGGGACCAAAGCCAAGCAAAUCCUCAUCCUAUUUUGUUAAGUCUAUCUGAAUGAACCAUCAAGUCUAUCCAUAUAAUGCAUUCACACCAAUCCAGCCAUUUGGAGCUAUUAUUUCUUCUCCUCUGUUACUUCCUUCAACAUUUCCAUUAGAUGAAUAGAUAAGUUGGACAUUGGACAAGUAUUACACCAUGGUUGUCCCAAGAGUCUAGAAUGCUACUACCACGAAAGUGGGCGUUGUGGGAGAGAUGAGAUGAUAUAUGGGUGCCAAGUAAUAAUGUUGAAAUUCAAUUAUGUGAUAUCAGGAGCAUCUUAACAUAUUGAUGGCCCAAAAAUAUUGCAUUGUUUGUGAAUAGUAAUGGGGUUGUCCUUUUCAAAUUUCUUACGUUUCGACUGGUGUGAAAUGAUCUCAAGAAUUUUAUAAUGAUUAGGGACCAUUUUGAACUUGAAUAUUUGUAAUAUUACUCAAUUAAUUAAUCAGUGUUGCUUUCAUUUUCAUUUUA